UUUGUUGCCAUUGCCAAAUUUUUAGGUAAUUUUGAUUUUUACUUAUAAUGGUUCCUAUUUUACUUUGACCAUUCUUUUUGUGCUAGGUUUUUGCUGAAAAGAAAAUUCAGAUCAAGUGAUACUCUUCCUUGUUUUCAUGGUGGAUUUGUAGUUGGGCUAAUCUGUUUUGCAUUGUCUUGAAAAUAUUUCAAGUAAUUGAAUACAGUUAAAAUGAUUGGAAAAGUGUUUGGUUCGUUCGAUUAUGUAUUCUAAUUUUUGUAACAGCAUAUUUAUGAUACAAAGAAAGUGAUCAAACGUUUGAUAAAAUAUGGGUCAUUUUCUAUUGUAUAUAGAGUAUUAUUUAUUUUGUCAGAAAAAGAUGAGAUCAAUGCCUAUUAGUAGCUCAAACUGGCUCAAAUUCUGUUGUGUUUUCAAAGCAUCCAUCUUUGUCAUUUUUUAAAUUUAAAGAAUUUUUAAUGCUUGUUUUAUAAGAAGUUGUUGAAAAGGCCAGUUUUUUAAAGCUGCAAUUCGGACUAGUCUGGUUCAAGACUUAAGCUGCUUUGCUAGUUUAUGUGAAAACACUUCCAGCUCUGAUUUUUGUUUACAGUUGCUCGCUACAUUUGGAUUCUUAUUAGCUAAUGUAUUUUAUUUUAUUGUGUUAUAUAUGUAAAUUUAAUGAUAUCAGUUCUGAUUUUUGUCUCUGUGAUGUUUGCACAUGUUUUUAUGUAUCUAAUUAUUAACAUAUACCCAAAAUUGUGAGUCUAUAUCAAGAUGAUUUGUGUUAUGUGUAUGAUGAUUGCUUGUCUUUGUUUCUCUUUGUUGUCUUUGGCUAGUUAUGUUUGUGUAUCUGUGUUUGCUUAGGUAUCUCUAUAUAUCUUUAUUUUGUUUCUACUGUCCAGCAGAGAAGAAAACUAUAUACAUGUUAUUUAUGCCUCCUAGGUGCUUGUUAAAAUGCUACCAAGAGUGGUUGGCUCUUACUAUACUUUUAUAUUGUUUUCUUGUGAGUUUUUGUUUUAAAUAUCUAUCUAUCUAUAUAUAUAUAUAUAAAGUAAAUGGCUAUAUUUGAAACUUGUCAGUUCUAUAUGAGAAAUCACCAAGGAGAUGAAAAGUUUGGUGAGACAAAAAUGUUAUAUAUAACUGCCCUUACAAAAAAAAUUCUGGAUUUUUUUUUUGAAGAAAAAAAUUUUGGUUAUUUAAAAAUAAAAUAAAAAUUAAAAAACGAAUUCUAGAAUGUAUGCUAAAAUGACAAUAACAUUGGGCACAAGUAGAUAUCAGUACGUUUGUAUUUGGCAGCAAUGUUUCAAACAAUUUCUGAAAGUUAUGUGAGAAAGACAAUGGGUCACUGAAUCAUGAGUUUUGGCCUAUUGAUUAUCACCACUAUGUAGUUUGAGGUUGUGGUUCAACUUCUAUGGAGAAGAGUUCAAUUGGGUUAUAUGUAGUUUUUCUUAUGAUUGUAAUUGAGUUUGGAGAUUGUUGGGCUUUUAAACUUCAAAUAGAUGUGUAUUAAAUUAACAAAAAAUAAUAAAUUUUGUUUUCUCUAAUUUCCUUGUUCAACUGUUAUUGGAAAUUUGGAAUUUAGUUAUGAUCUCAUAGUGCGCAAUAUGUGGAGUGGAGCUUUCGGGUAUGAGACCAACUGUUUAUAUUUCUUUCUUUUGGUUGUUUUAUUGAUAGGGUAACUUUUAUGUGAAUUUGAUAAAAAAAAUUCUUUUAAGAACUCUUUUUUCCAUUCAACAUAAUUAAUAUUUUCGUUUAACACAGUUUUGGCACCCAGUUGGCCCCCUCAUCCACAAAUAUGGUGAGAGGAUUGUUUAUGACUCUGGAAUUGAUGCACAGACUACUGUUUCUAGCAUUAUUAGGGACCAAACCUGGCAGUGGCCUGGUACUCAGACUUGGGAACUUACUAAGAUUAGGAAUUCUAGCCUUAGGGAUAUGGUGCCUUCUGAUAGGAAAGACUAGCCAAUUUGGACUCCUUCAAAUGGUCUCUUCUCUGUUCACUCUGCUUGGGAUUUGUUUAGAAUUCAUAAGCCUAGAGUGACUUGGCAUAAGCUUAUCUGGUUUAAGUCCCAUAUUCCUAGAUUAGUACUGUGGUUUGGAUGGCUAUCCUUGGUGGAUUGAAUACCCUUGAUAGAUUGGUUGUAUAUGGGGUUAUGAGUUCUGCUCAGUGUGUGUUGUGUCACCAUUAGGAUGAGGAUUAUGAGUUCUGCUCUGUUACAUAAAUGUAAUAUGCAUUGGCAAGCUAUGAAUUGGGGUAGUUGUGUGGACUGGUUAUCUGGGCAAUUCUCUGGUCAUUCUUUGGCCACUGCACUACUGCUAGGAAAUUAAUGUUUACUAGUACGGCUUACUGUAUCUGGCAGGAGAGAAGUGCUAGGAUCUUCUUAUCUGUUUGUACUCCUACUAAUAUGAUUGUAAGAAAAGUUGAAUCUCUGGUUAGGUGCAGGCUCUUGUCUGUUAACAAUUUCAAGGAGGAUGGGGAUAAUGAUUGGUUUAUGGACUCAUGGCAUCUUCCUCAUACAGUGUUGAGGGCACAUGCUCUUUGAGCUGUUUGUACUCGUACUUCCAGUGUCUCUAUAUAUAUUGCUGUGUGUUUGGAUCUUCCUCUUGCAGGUCUCCUAGAUCAGUCCUUUGGAGUUGCCUCAUUUUCCCCUUUGUAUUCACAACUUUGUUGGUACUUAGGGAUGUUGUGGUUUGAGUGAUUGUGAACCUUCACAGUUAGUAUUGUAAUGGCAAUUAUUGAGAGUGAGUGUUGAGAGCCUAUAUAUGAGUGGUGAGGCUCUAUAGCUAGGUUUUUGUGGGUCGAGUGAUGGUGAGCCAUAUAGUUUAUCCAAUUCUUUUCUGUAGGUUGUCAAGCUGGUCCUAAUUGUAAGGGAGUUUUUUUGUUGAGGGUUGAGUGAUUGGUUAGCCCUCAUAAAUUUUUUUGAAGUGAUGUGUGUUGCAUCUUGAGGGUUAAAUGAUUGAGGACUAUAAUUGUUUCUAUGGGUCUACUCUACCCAGUCUUGCUGUCUGUUUGUAAUGAAUAUUUGUCACUGUGUCCUUGCUGAGUUGUUACACACAGGUUAUUGUAUUUGUUCAACCCCCACAUAGGUCUAUAAUAUGUGGUGAUUGAACAGGCUUUUAUUAGUUCAAGUGUACAUCUGCAUUUGUCUUGGGGUUGGUCUUAGCAGAAGCCUGUUGUAAUGGACCAUGCUGCUGUUGGUUGCUGUUCUGCUAGCUGUGGUAUAUGCUGAAUUGCUGCUGUUGAGUUGAAAUUUGUGUAGUUCAUGUGUAGAUGCUGCCCAUGGAUGGGUGUAUGGUUCUCUGCUGGUUGAUGAGUCUGUGGCUCCACUUGUGUAGCUUUGUUGGUGCUGCUGUCUGUUGUCUGUUGUCUGUUGUCUGCUGUCAUGCUGACUGGUCUUAGCUGUGUUUGUGGUUCAUGCUGCCAUGGUGUUGCUGCUAUAUUUCCUUCCCUGUAGCAGUGUUGUCUUCUUUAUAGUGCAUGCUCUGGUGCUGUCUGUGGUUGCUUUCUUCUUGCAUUUCUGAACUGUAUGCUGCCUGACCUCUGUUUUGUUACUGUUUGUUGCUGUCUUCCUGCCAGUAAGAGGUGGCUGAUAUGCUUGGUUGGUGCAGCAAAUUGUGCUAGUUUUUUGAGUGGGCUCUGUUUUUUGCUGAUCCUAAUGGACUUAGUUUGUAUUAUGGGCACAAGAGUUGGAUACUAUUGAAACAAGCAAAUCUGAUUUGGACAUAUAUUUGGAAGAAGGCCUUUACAUUUGUAAACGGAAUUUAGAUGUUGAUUUUGAUGCUUUAGAUUGGUGGAAGGCAAACACUCUCAAGUUUCACAUUCUAUCAAACAUGGCGCGUGACCUAUUAUCAAUUCCUAUCAGCACUUUAGCUUCUGAAUCUGCUUUUAGUGCUAGGGGACGAGUUCUAGAUCCAUAUCGAAGCUCUUUGAAAUUGGAAAUAGUGCAAGCUCUAAUUUGUGGAGUGGAUUGGCUAUGUUCGAAUUUUGGAGUGAAUAAACCAUUGGAGUGUAAUGAAGAGUCCAUGCAAGAAGUAUGCUUAGAGUAGUUCUAAGGGUACUUUUCCUCUUGGGAAGUUAUUUAUUGGUGGAAUUUCAUGGGACACAAAUGAAGAUCGUUUGAAGGAGUAUUUAAUGGCUAUGGGGAAGUUUUGGAAGCAGUCGUGGUUUUGGUUUUGUUGUCUUUGCCGACCUGGUAGUUGCAGAGAGAGUCAUUAAGGAGAAACACGACAUUGAUGGCAAGAUAGUAAGAUGGUCUAGAAUUUCUCAAUUUAUUGUUGAUGUUAUCUUCAUACACUAGUCCGGAUUUAUCGAGUUUUGUUGUUUUUUAGAAUGUAGGCAAUUUAAUCUUAAUUUAAACUAAAAUUGCUUAUUGUCUUUUUGAAA